rnacentral:rRNA from 1 species
UGGGAGGCAGCAGUAGGGAAUCUUCGGCAAUGGACGCAAGUCUGACCGAGCAACGCCGCGUGAGUGAAGAAGGUUUUCGGAUCGUAAAACUCUGUUGUUAGAGAAGAACGUCAGUGAGAGUGGAAAGUUCACUGAGUGACGGUAUCUAACCAGAAAGGGACGGCUAACUACGUGCCAGCAGCCGCGGUAAUACGUAGGUCCCGAGCGUUGUCCGGAUUUAUUGGGCGUAAAGCGAGCGCAGGUGGUUUAAUAAGUCUGAUGUAAAAGGCAGUGGCUCAACCAUUGUGUGCAUUGGAAACUGUUAGACUUGAGUGCAGUAGAGGAGAGUGGAAUUCCAUGUGUAGCGGUGAAAUGCGUAGAUAUAUGGAGGAACACCGGUGGCGAAAGCGGCUCUCUGGACUGUAACUGACACUGAGGCUCGAAAGCGUGGGUAGCAAACAGGAUUAGAUACCCUGGUAGUCCACGCCGUAAACGAUGAGUGCUAGUUGUUUGGGGCUAUCCAGCCCUAAGUGACGCAGCAAACGCAUUAAGCACUCCGCCUGGGGAGUACGACCGCAAGGUUGAAACUCAAAGGAAUUGACGGAAGGGC